rnacentral:lncRNA from 1 species
CUGACAGCCACUCUUGAAGGAGCUCUGGUUGCAGUUUUCUCUUUUGUGGACUUUUCCCUGUGAGCCUAUAUCUUUAGAGACAGCUGUUCCAAUUGAAUGUUUCCUGCUGGCUUCUUGACAGGCCUUGUCGACUUGGAAAGAAGUCAUUUUAUAUUCCUAGAGGUGGAAGAAAAUGCUUACAAAUUGAAAUACAAAAAGAUUAGGAAGACUGAAGAACAGAUAUGCUACCUGUAAUUCUUUUUAUUCACUUUAUUUUGAAAUAACUAAUUUUCAAGUUGACUGUAUCCCUUUAAAUCAGAAAAAAAGAC